rnacentral:piRNA from 1 species
UGAGAAUAGGUGUGGCUCACUUUUC